rnacentral:lncRNA from 1 species
GCCUGGUGAGCACCUGGCCAGCCAGCACCCCGCGGCUGAGCGUGGGCUUCGUAGUCCAGCCCUGAUUCGAGACAGAGUUGAUCGUAUUGGGUCUUUUAACCACUGCUGUGUGGCCAGAUGUCAAAGCCCCCUUUUCCCCAAGAGCCCACCGACCUAGAGCAUAUCCUCAGUACCUAUGGUUCCUUUCAAACCCCAGCUCCCACUCUACCACUAGUAACACAUUAACCUGGCUUAGGGUCUGCUUAUCUAUUCUUACUUUCUGCCUCGCUGAGUCACAUUCCCUUCUUUGCCAGUGCAUGGGGUUGCCCUUGCUGUCUGCUAUCACAGUGUAGCAUUUCUUUCCCGGGAAGCCUUAGAGUUCUAAUGUCUACAAUGCCGGGUGCUGAGUCAGAAAGAACAGGAUUUCCAGGAGCUACUGGCCUGAUGAGGAGAUGAAGCUUGAUGCCUCCCAGAGGAGCAGGAAACUGGAAGGUGAUAGAGCCACCUGCUGCUCUCUACUUCGCAGAGACUGAGGAGGAGCCUGAGACUGUUCGUGGACAUCCUGUGAAUAUCAGGAAACAUUUUGGAGGGGUUAGAAGAAGGGGAUGUGGCAUUCACAUGUGUGCUUCCAUGGAUUCCAGUCCAUCUUCUCUUGGAAACAAUCAUACCCUGGCAAGUGACCUUUCCUAAGCAAGAACAAAGGUGUUAAAAAGGCUUCCAUCCUCUACUUGCUUUCCUGUGCCCAAA